AUUGAACGCUGGCGGCCUGCCUUACACAUGCAAGUCGAACGGCAGCGGGGGAGAAGCUUGCUUUUCCUGCCGGCGAGUGGCGAACGGGUGAGUAAUACAUCGGAACGUGCCCUGUAGUGGGGGAUAACUAGUCGAAAGAUUAGCUAAUACCGCAUACGACCUGAGGGUGAAAGUGGGGGACCGCAAGGCCUCAUGCUCUAGGAGCGGCCGAUGUCUGAUUAGCUAGUUGGUGGGGUAAAGGCCUACCAAGGCGACGAUCAGUAGCUGGUCUGAGAGGACGAUCAGCCACACUGGGACUGAGACACGGCCCAGACUCCUACGGGAGGCAGCAGUGGGGAAUUUUGGACAAUGGGCGAAAGCCUGAUCCAGCAAUGCCGCGUGUGUGAAGAAGGCCUUCGGGUUGUAAAGCACUUUUGUCCGGAAAGAAAUGGCUCUGGUUAAUACCUGGGGUCGAUGACGGUACCGGAAGAAUAAGGACCGGCUAACUACGUGCCAGCAGCCGCCGUAA
rnacentral:rRNA from 1 species